AUGUAUUAAACUAAUGAGUGAGAAAAAUAAGUUGGGGUAAUGCCUUACUUCUCUAUUAUAACCAGUUUUUGUUAGGGUAUAGGUUACCACUUGGAGGAUCCACCUAUUUUGUGGGGCCUCUAGGUGCUGUAAUCUGCCCU